GACAGGCGCGCUCAUCUCGGUGGGACUGAACGCAUCGAAGACCGGAGACGGGGGAGAAGAUCACCCGGUAAAGUGUCCGUCAGGAGCCUCAGACCGCGGGGAACGAUGCUCAGGACGAGUCUGUCCGCGGGCAGCAGUACUUAAAAAGCUGCGGUCCAUCCAUCAGGACACUUUUUACUCUCGCCCCUUCCUCUCUGAUCAGGAAGAUAAGAAUCCAGGCAGUCAUCCUCCAGCUCACAGUCCUCUUUGGGCACCUAACCCCAGUUUGACAGCCAGUCUGGUUCAAUCCCAGCACGAUGUGGAAGACUGUGAUCCUCCUGCUGAUGUGGGUGUCUCUGGCGUCCGGAGAACUCCAACAAGAGACGGAGCAGCGGAGACUGCCACCCCCGGGAAAGUUGGAUUUCGGUUAUGUGCCUGCGGGAGUUUACGAGACUCUGGCUCACUACGAACCGGGACCGAUAGGGAUCCUGUUCCACAUGGUGCACGCGUUUCUGUAUGUCGUGCAGCCCAACGCUUUCCCGCAAGAACUUAUUGUCAAAUUGGCGAAGGACAAGUUUGGAGCCAUUCAGACGGAAUACCAAAAGCCAGAGAACAUAGUGCUGACCCUUCAGGCCAUCUACUACGAGAUAGGCUUCCUGGUUUGUGCAGCAGUCGGCCUGCUCUUCACCAUUCUGGUGCCGAUAGUCGGCCUCUUCUUCUGCAUGUGCCGCUGCUGUGACAACUGCGGCGGCGAGAUGCACCAACGCCAGAGGAAGAAUGCGGACUGCCGACGAGGCCUGUUGGGAACGCUGCUCUUCUCCACCUCACUGGUCAUCACGAUCGGAGUGCUGUGUGCAUACGCUGCCAACCAGAACCUGAGCUCACAGGUGAAGAACAUACGGAGACUGGUCAACAGCAACAUGAGGGACCUGCACACCUUCGCUAAUGACACGCCGAUGCAAAUUGAUUACCUAAUAUCCCAAUACACCACCGCCAAGAACAAAGUCAUCUAUGACCUAGAUAAUAUAGGUCCAUUAUUGGGUGGACGGAUACACGAUCAGUUGGAUAAGGAAGUCCAUCCUGCCUUGGACAGAGUGCUCAAUAUGGCUGGAGUGAAAAUCGAGAGAGCCAUCAAAGCCAUGCGAGAAACCAAAGAGGCCCUGGAGAACGUCAGUGUGGGUUUGGAGGUUCUCCAGGAGGGAACAGGGAAGCUCAACUUCAACCUGAGUCUGGUCCGCACCAGUAUCAACCGCACCCUCAACGACCCGGGCUGUCAUGACGAGGAGUCAGACGCCACCACUGCACAGCUGUGCCGCAACAUCCGCCAGUCACUGUCCCAGCUGCAGAUCGGAGCCAACUUCACACGGUUACCCAAAGUGAACGCUCAGCUGCAAAAGGUGAACGAUGUACUGAAAACGGACCUCAGUGCCAUCGUCCAAAGGGGCUACGUCUCUUUAAACAACACACCACAUAUGGUGGUUGAACAGACCAGAAGUGUUGUGGAGAAUGUGCAGAGUUUGGUGGACGGCAUUGGCAACAACAUCAGCAGCUUUUCCAAGGUGUUCCCUGUGCAGAGCUGCCUGGCCAACUUCACCAUCUUCAUCAGCCAUGCUCAUGCUAAGAUUGAGGACUACUACCCUGAGAUUGACAAACUGGACUUCUACAGGUGGAUUGGCUGCAUUGCUCUUUGCUGCAUGGUGGUUCUGGUCCUGGCCUUCAACUACCUGGGCCUGCUGUGUGGCACCCUGGGCUACGACAAGCACGCCUCACCUACGACACGAGGCUGCAUCUCCAACACGGGAGGAACGAUGCUCAUGGCCGGCGUCGGAUUUAGCAUCAUCUUCUCCUGGGUGCUGAUGGGAGUGGUAACAAUCAUCUUCUUGGCUGGAGGAAACAUGGAGAAACUUGUUUGUGAACCCUUUCACAGCAAGGAAAUCUUCAAUGUUGUGGACACCCCGUAUUUGGUUAACCCAGAGUGGAAAAACUUCAUCCCUGGCUACAUGUACAACGACUCCGACCUGGAGCUGACAGCAGAGAGCUUGUACAGCACUUGCAAAGAGAACAAAGGCAUCUACUCAGCCAUGCGUCUGGACAAAGUCUUCAACAUCUCCUUGUUCCUGAACACUACAGUGUUUACUAAGGAUGUGGUGAGUCAGCUGGAGAGUGUUAAGAUCGACCUGAGGGGAAUAAUCCUGUUAGAGGCAGAAGGGAAGCAGAACCUCCUGGACUUCUCUGAAGCUGGACUGUCAGAAAUCAACUAUGCAGACUACCUGGAAGAGGUCAACAAAGGAGUCACUUUGGUGGACCUGCUCUCAUAUGCCAGAGAGUUGGAGGCCCAGACAGACCUCAUGCCCAGAGGCGCUCUGCAGACUGCUCUGAAAGGCCACAUCGGCACUCUGCGGCAGAUCCACACUCAACAGAUCAUCCCUAUGGAGCAGGCCAUGAAAUAUGUUAGAGCGAGGAGCGCACUGAACCAGAGUAUGAGGUUCCUGGAGAGAACAGCCACAGACCUGCCCAACAAAGUUUUAGCAGUUCUUGAUGCCAUUGAUGCUGCGCAGUACCUCAUCUCACAGAAUGCUUCACACUUAAUCAAUCGGGAAACGGGGAAAUACACAGCAACUAUUGUUGGCUACUUCCAUCAAUACAUAGAGUGGGUCAAAACAUCCUUGGCUAUGGAAGUUGCACCAUGCAAGCCCUUCAGCAACAUGGUGGACACGGCAGAUAUCAUUGCUUGCAGUUUCUUGGUCGACUCCAUGAACACAUUCUGGAUGGGCCUGGGCUGCAGCACUCUCUUUCUGCUCCCAAGCAUCAUCCUCGCAGUGAAACUAGCCAAGUACUACCGCAGGAUGGACACAGAGGAUGUUUACGAUGAUUCCUCUGUUUCUGGGACUUGGCAUUUUACUUUGUGAUAACCAUUUCUACUAUUUCCAUCUUCCAUAUCUUUUUUGUUGUUUUUUUUUGUUUCAUUCCUCUCUCUCAAGCACUUGGCACUUUACAAAGAAACACUGACGCUUGUCAAUUUAUAUUUAUUCUCUCAUGGACCUUUUGUUCGCUCAUUUAAUCGUGGCUUUACACAAAUACAACGUAAUGUCUCGAUCAGUGGCGUCUGUCGUCAUGUGAUCUGUGCUGGGUUAAAGGCUUUCUGACUUUCUGGUGCAUUUCUAUCGCUGAGCAUUUCAAUAACAUUUUUAUGUUGGUUUUUUUUGUGUAUCUUUAUAGCAUUGAGACAAUUCCCAUGAAAACGUAAGAUAUUUUACCCACCUCCCUCUCCCUUUCAGCUCCUAUCACUCUGUGCUUUUCUCUGGAUCUUGUACAUAGACUUGUUUACUAAAUUCUUGGUGCUGGUUUACGUUUUUAAGCUUGGAAUUGCUCUUAUGGGUGGAUGGUGUGGCUUCUUGUCGUGUGCUACCUUUGAAAAGUGCCCCUUACCUUUCACGAAGGGCUCUUGCAAUCAUUACCUUACAAGUCCACCUGUUUUUUGUAAGUUAUAGUGUAAAUAAAACGCUAUAGUUUAUACUCAAAAAAUAUUUAUCUCUUAACAUCUUGAAAAGUUUGACUACUCAAAAAGAAAAGCAUUUUUACUCUAAAACUUUAAUCAGCAUGUCUCUCACAUUACAUUUUUCAUCCCUUUUUUGUAUACAAUAUUUUGUUUUCAGUAUGGAAAUUGGUAAUAAUGGUUAUCAUAGUGAGAGCUCACAAGGUAUCCCAAAUCCUAUGAUAACAAGGUAAACAUUAUAAUAAUCCUGUUAUUGCAUGUUAUGGGCGGUGGAGGCAUGCCUGGGGACGUGGGCUUUUUACACGCAAAAUGACGUGGCUGGACAACUGUGCAUGCCUUUGAGGGAUUUGAUGUAUUACGCACAUUCACACACACAAAUUUAUGGAGGUCAGCAAACUGAACAGUAAGAUGAAAGCUGACAAGUAAUGGUAGCUUUUCUUGAAAAACAUCCAAUAUGACAUUUAGUAUUUUAAAUCUAAAAAGUACCUUUAAGAGCUUUAAAUAGAUUUAUCAAAGAAUUUCAAGGAAUAUUGCAACAAUUUGGGAUACAGGUAUUUCAGUUUUCUUUCUUGGAGUUAGAUGAGAAGAUUGGCACCACUCUCAUGUCUGUGUUAAGUAGAGCCACACGUAGCCUGGUUUAGCAUUUAGACUGGAACCAAGAGAAAACAGCUAGCCUGGCUCUGUCUAGAAUGGAAAAAAAAUAAGCUUACCGACAACUCUAAAGCUCGCAUAGUGUGCUGUAUCUGGUGGACAAGAGCUAGGCACAUUAACUUUGGUGACUGGUAGACUCAGGGAGUGGGGAACAGAGGGGCAGGUCACCCUCCUUGGUGUCCCAAUGUUCUUCGACACCCCUAUGGUAGAAUAAACAUGAUAAAGUCCCCUCUAGGGUGCCCUUCAUUCAAAGAAAACGUGAUGCAGAGCUAUAUAGGCUGCCCUACAUGCUAGAAAACUUUCUGCAUGCUCUUGGCCCACCACAUGCAGCCGGUGCCCUUUCUAAGGCAGCCUAAGUCCAUCACUGCUUUGGUGUCCCAUUGUUCAUCAAGAAACUGUUUCAGCACAAAACUUCCCCUAAAACCUGCAAAUUGUUCUUUUUUAUGGUUCCCACAGGAUGAAUCCUACUGACUUUUGGUGGUUACAUCUGUAGUUUUUAGUGAUAUGUCAUGGCAUGAAAUGGACCUUUGUCAUAGCAAACAUUUUGACUUAUCAUAGUAGGAAAAGCACAGGUGUUACUAAUGACACUCAGUACUAUUCAAGAGUCCACUGGCAUUGUGAGCAUGUCAGCAUUUAGCUCAAAGUACUGCUAUGUUUAAGUACAGCCUCACAGAGCUGUGUUGAUUACAUUUCUGAUUAUCUACAAAUAAACAAGACACUACAUGUUAAUUAUUGAGCUUUAGAGGUGCUGCAAAUGGUAUUUUUGAUCUUUGGAGAGAGCCAGGCUAACUGCUUCCUGCUACCUGUCUUUAUACUAAGAUAACAAUGUCCUUGAACUGAGCUCUGUACUUAACACACACACGAGAUUAGUGUGAAUUGCUGUUGUAAAUUUUUCAGUCAGUCUCAUGUUAAUAAUGUUGCUACCAUUACUUCUCUUAUUGCCAGAUGUCCUGCUUUGUGGUUUUUGGGGGAGUCUUCCAUGUAUCACUAACCUCCUGCAUGCUCUGUAUGUGCACUGGGAUGUUGAUGUGGAAUGAAAAAUCUUCCUGUUUCCUCUCAUUUAGAGUCAGCCAAAGUCCGAUGAAUGUACACCUGAUCAUUUUGUUCAGAGAGAGGCAAGCAUGUCAAGCUUUGGUGUGAUGCUGCGAAUGCUGCUCCUUUGAUUUUCUUAUUAAUCUAACAAAACGUCUAACUGCAUGAUACGUAUUUUUAAGUUGCACUGGGACGAGGAUGCGUUUGGACAGACAACCAACUGUAACAGAAGAUAACGGAAGAGAGCAAAACAGCUACAGCAGACAUCUUUACUUUCACAAUUAUCUUUAAACUUAUUUAACAUGUCUCUUACAUGAGUGGAGUUUUAUUCCAAAUGGUGCUAUCCAGUUUUUGAGUGACUGCUGAAAAGUAAAACCCAAAGACAAUACUUUAUUUGCCAUUUUGUGGUCUUUACUUGAACAUUUUUCAAAGAUGGAAUUGUCUUUUUUUUUUCUGUGAUUUACUUCUAUAUUUUUCUCAAAAUGGAUACAAGAUGGUGGACUGAAACUUGUAAAUCAUGUCCAAAAGGCCGUCAUAAUUUUUAAAAGGGGCAAUGAGUAAUAUAUGACCUCUACUGACCUUUAUCAACAAACACUAGCUACUGGAACACUGACACUUCAUCCUCCAGGUUCAGCCAGGUACCACCACUUUGUCGCGCCCCUUCGCAUGUGAUAUGAACAGUCCGUUUAGGAUGGGAAGAAAGGGGAGGUGAAUAGGUCAAACAAAACCAGACUUUCAUCCAGGAGACCAAAGUUUGUGUCCCGUGUGAAAGCAUAAGUCAGUGUUGUUUUAACGUAACAUUACACUACCGUCGCUGCAUACUGACGUCACUCACUCAGCAUAUUCACGUCACGCUAUGUAACAUUCUACUUAUUUAAACCCAAAACAUGAGCUGUUUUUUAAAUCUAACACAGUACUUUAGUUGCCUAAAUGUAACCGUGACCUUUUCACAAUAUGAACCACCUGUCAACAAUGUGUUUUAGUUGCGUGUCACAUAGAUGCGCUCAAGGAUUCCCUAUGCAUCACUAUGAGACGCCAAGGGGCGUGACAAAGAGUUGGCGAUUAACCUGAAAAUGAGAACGGGUUGGAACACAAUGGGAGUGUGUGAAUAAAAUUUUGAGAGCCUGAUAUCUAAUCUCUGGUGAACUAAUUCUUGCGUCACUGAUAUUGAUCGACAACCCCAUAAAACACCAAGUAAUAUAAUUAUCUUAUAGUUUCAGAGAGGAACAACUUUACGUAUUGCCCCUUUAACUGACCGUACAGUUUGUCAAUCUUGAUGUUGGUGAAGCUGUUCUGCUCUCUGCCUUGUGAACCCCUCGUCCUGCUUCUCUUUGCUCAGUAAAAGAAGAGAAGCAAGCAGCAGUUGUUGAGUUUUUUUCUGUGGCUCUUAAUAUUUUUUCCUCUGCAUGUCGUUCUGUGCCGGUAGCAUCCCUACCUAUGACACUAUGAACAGGUUCCCGCGGGCCUCGGCUCCUCCGAGGCACAUCGACUGGUGACAGAGAGCCAGCUCGUGUUCUGGCUCCUGAAAGCCUCUUUUAGUGCUUUUCUGCUCACAGUGACUUUGCAGGAAAACCAUCAUGUGCCCUUGAAAACUGGAACUAAAAUACACCAUACUGUUGGUUUAUCGACCCCUCGGACAAGAAGAAGCCCAAUAAAAGCUGGUUUCCUUACAACAGAAGAAGAACACACAAAGCCCUCUGGGAUUUUAUUUUUCUUCAGCGAUCAACUCAACCUCCUCAACCAGGCAGAUCACAGCCUCCGGUACAGUUACCUGCACCCUCUCCGAAAAACUCUGCCUGCAGGACAUCAAACUCUUCUCCCUCAGCAUCAAUCUGAGCCACGCUUGUACUGCUUUUUUUUUUCAAAGGACUGCUGUGUCUGCGUUUACAUUUGUUCAGACACAAAACCACGCUGAAAAAUACAUUCAGCAAGAGGACAUGACAAUAACUGCGAUGCCUGUUCAUAUAAAUGUUUGUGCUGAAGAAGACAGUGGCUGAAAGGUCACCCGAAAGUCAUGGCAAGCUGCUACAGGAAACUUUUAGUCCUGCACUUAGAUUGGAUGUAUCACAUUCAACACAAGCUAAUGCUAAAGGUGGAACAGUCUGUCAAGACAUCUACAAGGAAAGGUGCAAAUUAAGAUGAAAUUCAAUGUGUUAAAAAGCACUGCUUUGUUGAGGAAGAAGCAUCCUUUUUAACUGCAGCAUGUGUGAGUUGGUUGGUGUGUGUGUUCCUUAAUGACUGAGAACUGGAUGAUUUAAACAAAGUGGUAAAAAUACAGAAACAGGUUGGUCCCAGGUGGAUUCUUAUAAUUAAUAUUAAGAAAUUUAGCAUGACUUAAAAAAAAAAUGUUUACAGUAUCACAAAACAGUUUUGAGUUCCUUGCUGGUUUUUGGGCGAAUUGCAAAUGACUGGUUGCCUUUCAGAAGUAUGUUUUUUUUGACAGAUAUGCUUCUUUUAAAAGGGGAAAUCCACCCACAGCUCUUACACUGCUAAAAAUAACCAACAUGUCAUGUUAUUUUGUGGUAUGGUGUUCAAAAUAUACAUUUUACUUUUUUAGCAUAUGCAUUUUCCCUUAACUUGUGUCAUCUACUCUUCAUUUCCUACAUUUCCCAAAAUCUAUUUAAACAUCCCUCAAUUUAUAAUAGGUGGGGAAAAAAAGGUGGGACAAACAUCACAGCCUGACAUGGCUUGUUGCUGCUUUCUGGUCUACUUAAACUUAUGUCAGUAUGUUUGUUUCUUUUAAGGAAUUGCUAAAAAAAAAUAAAAAUAAAAAAUUUAUAUAUAUAUCUAUAUAUAUCAGUGUUGGACAAAGUGUUGGUGCUUAGUCCUGAGUACAUUUUGGACCAAUAGUUCCCAAAUGUUUUGGUUAAUUACCAAUCAAAAUUAAGGAAUUUAUAGAUGCAGACCCUCCUCACAGGUAAGAAGUUUAACCAAAGAGUUAUUUUCCAAGCAGAGAUUGAUUUAUGUGAAUAGUUUUUGACACAUAAAAGCUACUUCCUUUCCUGCCUUUCAAUCAUCUCCAGAGCCUUCAGCCAUAUUUUCAGACCAUUUAGGGAGUCCCAGGUUGGAUACAAGACUACAACCAUAUACCACCAAAAACAAGACAAAUCAGCAGUAUAAGUGUGUAAGGUGGAUUUUCCCUUUAAUUCUCAUGAAGUCAGAGCAUAACUUCUUUAUAUAUCACUCACUAUGACAGAAGUGUCAGGCUUAUAGAUUGUUCCUAGGUGAUGAAUUGAUCAACAGAAGCUAUCAUGUUGAGUUCACUAACAUGAGAUUUUUCUUGCUCUCAUAGUAAUGAUACAUUUUAAUUGGAGAAAUACUUUCUCAAGCCAAAUUGUUUUUUUACUGUAGGUCUCAGGUUUUUAGUGAUCUAUCAGCUAUAUGCUUAUUUUGUUUCUGCUUUUUAAAACCCCACAGUAGCUAUGGAUACAUUUAAAAAAAACUAUAAGGAACGAGUGAAUGUAUUCAAGAGCUAUUUUUUAUUUUGUAUAACUUGAUGAAGUUGGCUGAGAAAUAUGCUGAAGUCUUGUCACUAACGCAUUGGGCAAGCCAAUCUGGUUAUUCCACCCACCUCGCCGCCUCCACGUUUACAGGUUAGAUUUGCAGCUGCUGUCGGCUACAUACAGUAGUAACGAUGGUGGAAAAUUAGACAAUCCAUUCAUGGGACAAGUCAAAUGGUAGAAAACGAGUAGAAUGCUUUACGGUUUACACAGCUGAUGGGGUUGAUGCACACUGUGAGAAAAUAAUGUCCAUCUUAACACUGAAAGUUUAAACUACACACAUUUAGCUAACUGAAUAUGCUAACGAUGUAACAGCAGAACAAGCUAGCCCACAGCACUUACUUGACAGUAACAAAUCUAACUUUACAGUACUAAAGAAUAUGAUUGUACAUUUAAUCUAGUAAAAAAAAAUGACAACAAGAUUUAAUAGAUAUGUAUAUUUCAAUAUUUUCACUGUAUUUUAGUGAUUUUAAGAAAGAGCAGACACCAUUUUGGAAAAACUUUGAUGCUAGCUUCUUUAGUCCGUUAGCAUCAACACUGUCAAACUUAAAACCAGAAAACAACAGAAAAUAUGACAUCUCCCAUAACUUACUAACAAAUAACUAACUAAUAGGUAUAUAAUUUUAGAUAAGAGUUUGGGCCACACAAAGAUAAGUGUUAUCGGGUUAGUUAGCUAAUAGCUUUAGUUAUAAAGCUAGCUUUCUUGUUCUACACACAGUAUUGUGCACAUAUUAAUAAUAAAUAUAAGCAGUAUACCAUACAUACUGCAUACACCUGUGUUCAAGAUUACAUCUUACUGUGAUGUAAAUUCAAAAUGGCUCCAGUUAGCAUAAGAUUAUCUAACAGUUUCUUACUUCUUUCCUGUUAAGACGGACAUUUUUUAAGUAUCUGUGUGCUCACUCUGACAGGACUAUCAUUCUUGUCUGCUAGCAUCUGGAUGUGACCCAUCUUGAAAAAAAAAAUAGGGUCUGAUUUUCCUUGAAGUGCUUAAACUAGAUGUUGCAUAUCCAAACCUACAGGACAGAUACUGGUUUGGUUUACUGGUAACUGGUGUGAACUGCGAUGCUCCAAAGUUGGGCACUGAUGGAGCCACUGAAGAGGAACUUUAUAUGUGGUGGUGAAAAGAGUGUGUACAAAUUGUGAAUAAAC